CUUCCGUUAAUUGAUUAUGACGUACUUGUACUGAUUGAGAUUUUAACACGAAGUGAGUGGCGAACGGGUGAGUAACACGUGGGUAACCUGCCCAGAAGUAGGGGAUAACACCUGGAAACAGAUGCUAAUACCGUAUAACAGAGAAAACCGCAUGGUUUUCUUUUAAAAGAUGGCUCUGCUAUCACUUCUGGAUGGACCCGCGGCGUAUUAGCUAGUUGGUGAGGUAAAGGCUCACCAAGGCAGUGAUACGUAGCCGACCUGAGAGGGUAAUCGGCCACAUUGGGACUGAGACACGGCCCAGACUCCUACGGGAGGCAGCAGUAGGGAAUCUUCCACAAUGGACGCAAGUCUGAUGGAGCAACGCCGCGUGAGUGAAGAAGGGUUUCGGCUCGUAAAGCUCUGUUGUUAAAGAAGAACGUGGGUAAGAGUAACUGUUUACCCAGUGACGGUAUUUAACCAGAAAGCCACGGCUAACUACGUGCCAGCAGCCGCGGUAAUACGUAGGUGGCAAGCGUUAUCCGGAUUUAUUGGGCGUAAAGCGAGCGCAGGCGGUCUUUUAAGUCUAAUGUGAAAGCCUUCGGCUCAACCGAAGAAGUGCAUUGGAAACUGGGAGACUUGAGUGCAGAAGAGGACAGUGGAACUCCAUGUGUAGCGGUGAAAUGCGUAGAUAUAUGGAAGAACACCAGUGGCGAAGGCGGCUGUCUGGUCUGCAACUGACGCUGAGGCUCGAAAGCAUGGGUAGCGAACAGGAUUAGAUACCCUGGUAGUCCAUGCCGUAAACGAUGAUUACUAAGUGUUGGAGGGUUUCCGCCCUUCAGUGCUGCAGCUAACGCAUUAAGUAAUCCGCCUGGGGAGUACGACCGCAAGGUUGAAACUCAAAAGAAUUGACGGGGGCCCGCACAAGCGGUGGAGCAUGUGGUUUAAUUCGAAGCUACGCGAAGAACCUUACCAGGUCUUGACAUCUUCUGACAGUCUAAGAGAUUAGAGGUUCCCUUCGGGGACAGAAUGACAGGUGGUGCAUGGUUGUCGUCAGCUCGUGUCGUGAGAUGUUGGGUUAAGUCCCGCAACGAGCGCAACCCUUAUUACUAGUUGCCAGCAUUAAGUUGGGCACUCUAGUGAGACUGCCGGUGACAAACCGGAGGAAGGUGGGGACGACGUCAAAUCAUCAUGCCCCUUAUGACCUGGGCUACACACGUGCUACAAUGGAUGGUACAACGAGUCGCGAGACCGCGAGGUUAAGCUAAUCUCUUAAAACCAUUCUCAGUUCGGACUGUAGGCUGCAACUCGCCUACACGAAGUCGGAAUCGCUAGUAAUCGCGGAUCAGCAUGCCGCGGUGAAUACGUUCCCGGGCCUUGUACACACCGCCCGUCACACCAUGAGAGUUUGUAACACCCAAAGCCGGUGGGGUAACC
rnacentral:rRNA from 1 species